rnacentral:lncRNA from 1 species
UUUUUAUAAGAAAAUGUUAAAAAUUUAAUAUAAUUCUUAUAAACAAUGAAAUGACAUUUUUUUUCUCAUGAAAUUAACAAAGUUCAUUAUUUGUAAGCAAACACUAAUUCUAUUGACCAAUGUGGCGUAAUGAGUUUAGCCUUGCUCAGCUAUUCACACAGGUAACGUGUAAAUCUUUCCAUUGUUAGAUUACGUGGCAGCCCACGUUUGGAUUAAUCUUCCCAAUUGCACGACAUUUAUCUUUUCCUUUAUCCACGUGUGUGAAGCUGCCUCAUAAAGUGGUUUCAUGCUCUUAGCUUCUUCAAUUAAUUGUGCUAUAAACAUAGAGCAUGAGUAAAAUAUCCAUUUGUCAAAUUCCCAUGAAUUUUGUCUGAUUAACACUCUCAAACGACUGUCGCAGACCUAAAUAUACUUGAUAAUGAUUCGACUAACUCGUAUUCGACUAUCUUUGCACUUGUCUAAACCUUCAAUUGGCUUAGAUGAGUAGUCUGCCUGACCCUAAACAGACCACAACCGCAUCUGCCACUUAAAACCAUUUGUGUUGAUAAUUUCCAAACAUCAAUACGUACCCCAUCUUCCAAUCUAUAUAUGAUAUGAUAUAUUCAUUUUUUCGGGCAUAUUGGAGUGCACUCGUUCAUUAAUACACAUCCUUUUAAGUUUGUAUUCAGGGGUGGCCCUGAGGGCGGGCGGGAGGGGUGGCAGUCCAGGGCACCAAUUAUUUUGGGAAAGUAAAAUUAUUAUUUUUACUUAGUAGUUAUUACAAUAUAGAUAUAUUUCUUUUUAAUUUGUUUUGAUUAAUUCUAUUGAAAAUAUCUUUUUAGAAAACUUUGAUUAUAAAUGAAUCUUGUGCAACAAAAUAUACAAGAAAAAUAUUAGAAUAAUUAAAAUAGGGGUCUUGUUAACCAGUGCCCCCGGGGCGGGGGCACUGGUUAAGGAAUCUAUAAAUAAAAUUUUUGUCUUCGAAAUAUAAACUGUCACUUUUUAUCAAGUAAUAAUUACAUUACUUUUUAAUAAAAACUUACUUCAUUUGGUUCUUAACCAAUGCUCCGUAUGUACUGGUUAACAUUCUCCUUAAAAUAAUACAAUUUUUUCCUUUCGUCUAGGGCACCAAAAAUCUUAGGACCAACCCUCUUUGUAUUUUACCGUAAGAAAAAAGAUUAUAUGUCAUUUUAUAAACCUAAAUAAAAUAUUAUAAGCAUGAUCUCGUACUCUAUAUGGUUUUUGCUGGCCUCACGGAGGCAUAGAUUCUUUAAAGACUAGGGCACGCUAUCAAUUAAUAAAUGAUUCGAUUAUUUGUCUUCUUUCUGCCUCUCUGAGUUACUCUCGAGUCUAAAUGUAUAAACUAAAUAAUGAAUGUGACAUGAUGACAAAAUAAAAUCCUUUGCCUUUUUUUUUCCCUAUUAUGGCAAAUCAACUUAACAAAUCAGAUACAAAAUACUGAAACAGAAUGUGAUUGGUUUAAUUAGACUAUUUUCAAGAAAAGAAGAAAAGUGUGAAAGAAAAUUAAGAAAUUCUAUGAAAAUGCUUGGCAUGAGAGAACAAAGAAAUGGUUUUUCUAGAAAGUCAUACCAUGUCUUUAAGCUUGCCAAAGUUCUUAUCCUAAACAUUCACAAUUCAGCAAUCAAUUUUGUGACAAAAUUAUUUCUGUCUCUGUGCAACCAAAUUUUGUUAUGAGACACUAUAUCUAUCGUUAAAUGAGGUUGUGACCGGUUUACUAAAUAUCACUAAACAAGCUAAUGUUAACGAUUGAUUUGACAUUUUGAUCUCUAAAUCGGUCAUUAUAAUAAAGAAUGACAAUCAUAAUUGGCAUAACCUUUUUACUUUUAACAAAAAUUUGUUAAAUUAACGUAAUGCAUGCUAUGUUGGAAAAGGAGAAGGUUGUAGUGAUAACUUUGUGAGAAACUUAGGAGGAGAUAAUAUUUGAGAGAAGAACUAUUUUAUUACUUAGAGAGGAUAUUUUGAUUCUUGUUUGCUUGCUUGCUUUACAAAUGAGAAGCUCUCCUCCUUUUAUAGGAUCCAAGG